GAGGGUAUAUCUUAAUUGGUAGAGUGAAUGCCUAGCAUGCAUAAGGUCCUGGGUUCAAUCCCCAGCACCUCCU
rnacentral:tRNA from 1 species